CGCCACGCCCCCCCGCCACGCCCCCGGACACGCGCGCUGCCCCGCCGGACACUUCCACUGCAAACGAGGGCCGUGCGUGGAGCUGGCGGUGGUGUGCGACGGCGACGCGGACUGCGCCGACGGCUCCGACGAGGACUCCUCGCCCACCGGACCUUGCGCGAACGUGACCUGCAGCGAGGACCAGUUCCUGCAGUGCGACACCAACCGCUGCAUCCCCAACAGCUGGAUCUGCGACGGAUACAAAGACUGCAGCGACGGCGCGGACGAGACGGCGGGCGCGUGCUCGCGCACCACGUGCCCCCCGGCGCAGUGGUCGUGCGCGCGCUC